rnacentral:misc_RNA from 1 species
UCCGGCUUAACGCCGGCAGUCCCAUUAGAGUGCCCAACUGAAUGUAGCAACUAAUGGCAAGGGUUGCGCUCGUUGCGGGACUUAACCCAACAUCUCACGACACGAGCUGACGACAGCCAUGCAGCACCUGUGUGUAGGUCCCCGAAGGGAAGGAAUCCAUCUCUGGAAGCCGUCCUACCAUGUCAAACGUUGGUAAGGUUCUGCGCGUUGCUUCGAAUUAAACCACAUGCUCCGCUGCUUGUGCGGGUCCCCGUCAAUUCCUUUGAGUUUUAGCCUUGCGGCCGUACUCCCCAGGCGGGGCACUUAAUGCGUUAGCUUCGGCACGGAGGGAGUCGACACCCCCCACACCUAGUGCCCAUCGUUUACAGCGUGGACUAC